rnacentral:ncRNA from 14 species
UAUCUUUGCUCCCUGAUCGGUUCCGAAUAGUCAUUCCUCUAUCCGGAUUAAAAGGGAAUCGGGUGUAAAUCCCGGACAGUCCCGCUGCUGUGAAGCUCCGUCUGAAUUUCCGAUAACAACUGUUGCCACUGGGAUACCUUUUUGUAAAUAGAUAAGGAGUCACCGGGAAGGCGUCGGAAACAAGGAGUCAGUCAGAAGACCUGCCGCUUAUCAAAGGCUGUUU